rnacentral:tRNA from 1 species
UUUAAUAAAAUAUUAGUUUGUCAAAUUAAAGAUGUAAGAU